rnacentral:lncRNA from 1 species
UAUCCAAUUCAUUUUCAACCCUAUUUCAUGGUGAUAAUACAUUAAUGUUGGUUAUAGUAUUGUAAUUAAAUGAAGGUAGUUAAUAAUUUACCUUGUUUCUAUUUAUAGCUCAUAUUUUUUUUUCUUUUUCUGAUGUAAUAUUUAUAACCCACCAUCUUAUGGGCAAAAUAUGCUAUGGUGAAACAUAAUGAGCCAAACUAACAUGUAAUUGAAUACAUUUUCUUCGUAGACAAUGGGAUACCUUGUGG